CUUUUCUUGAAAUUACUGGGAGAUAUGGCCUGCCCAAUGAGUGUUUGAAUGGCCGCGGUAUUUUGACCGUGCAAAGGUAGCAUAAUCAUUAGUCUCUUUAUUGGGGACUGGAAUGAAUGGUUGGACGAGAUAAAGACUGUCUUUAAUYUAAUUUGUUUAAUUUAAUUUUUGAGUAAAAAGGCUUAAAUUUUUUUAUGGGACGAGAAGACCCUAUAGAGUUUAAAUAUCUAUAAAGUUGUUUAUUAAUGUAUAUUUAUGAUAAACAAUUUUGAUGUAUUUGGUUGGGGWGAYUGRAAGAUAURAAUAACUCUUUGUAUAAGUACUUACUUAUUUGUAUUAGUUUGAUCCAUUAUUAAUGAUUAUAAGACUAAAUUACC
rnacentral:rRNA from 1 species